rnacentral:rRNA from 1 species
CGUAGGAGGCGAGCGUUAUCCGGAUUCACUGGGCGUAAAGCGCGUGCAGGCGGUUCGAUAAGUUGGAUAUGAAAUCUCCUGGCUUAACUGGGAGAGGUUAUUCAAUACUACCGGACUAGAGAGUGGUAGAGGAAGAUGGAAUUCCAGGUGUAGUGGUGAAAUGCGUAGAUAUCUGGAGGAACACCAGUGGCGAAAGCGAUCUUCUGGACCAUUUCUGACGCUCAGACGCGAAAGCUAGGGUAGUAAACGGGAUUAGAGACCCCGGUAAUCCUAGCCGUAAACGAUGUAAAACUUGGUGUCGGUGGCUUUUAAACUCCUUCGGUACCGAAGCUAACGCGAUAAGUUUACCGCCUGGGACUACGAUCGCAAAGAUUA